rnacentral:tRNA from 1 species
GCCGUCGUGGUGGAAUUGGUAGACACGCUAUCUUGAGGGGGUAGUGACCUAACGGUCGUGAGAGUUCGAGUCUCUCCGACGGCACCA